CCGGCACCUUUAGAAUAACAGUCUUAUUAUGGGUACGUUUUGUUGCGUUCACAAAAUAAUCUUACUUUUUUGGCACCGGGACCUUCUAAAACAUAUGUAAACCAAUUGCAACAAGACUGUUUCGAGACGUCAAUCGAAAAAUUGGAACCGGCACACUCUCUUUGACAUUUAGCAUUCUUGAUAAAAUGUCAUUAAUGACAGUUUUUAGCAAUUUUAUUAAAGUUGUAAAUAUGGAACUUUUAUAACAUUAUUUUGAAUAUUAUUAAAAGAAUACACAUCAAAUUUAAGUGAAACCUAUGUAGUUGGAAAUCUAUUUAAUAAAUGAAGCUUUUAAAGAAGAUAAUACAUUUAUUAUAUUAAAAAUGCAAAAUUAACAUAACUACAUCGGGUUGUUCCAAGAAAAGGCUUCAAACCUUUUGAUUUAAGAAGAAUCGUGUAAAUAAUUUAUUAUUGCGAAGUGCGCAAUCAUCACGAGUCUCUAUGAGAUAUGGGGGCAUCAUAUGAACAAUCUGAAAAUACAAUUAUAACCUAUCUGUGUAAGAUAAAAGUAAUAUUCUACAAUCAAUUCCGAGCACUAGGGAUAAGAUUACCCAGCGUAACCACAUGGAUGCAUUGAUAGUAUUCAAGAAGCUAUAAAGUGCCAGCGCAACAUGAAUAUAUUUUUUUCAAUAGGAAGCAAUAUCAUGCUUUAAAUGUAUUAGUGCAAUUAAAAACAUAUUUUAUAAAUCCAAAAUCUUUA